rnacentral:lncRNA from 1 species
AGGCCAUGAUCCAAACUUGGGGUGAUGGAAGAGGCUUUUUGGAUUAAUUGGUGGCCACUUUCCAAACUUUGGGUGAUGGAAGAAGCUCUUAUGAGGGAUUGGUGGCCAUUUUCCAAAAUACUUGGGGUGGUGGAAGAAGCUCUUUGGAGGCAAUGGAGGCCAUUUUCCAUACUUAGGGUGAUGGAAAAAGCUCUUUGGAGGCAAUUUUCCGAACUUGGGGUGAUGGAAAAAGCUCUUUGGAGGCAAUGGAGGGAGCGUUGGAAGAGGUGGACAUGGUGGUUUCUUGAAUGGAGGAAGAAUAACUGGUGGUUUGUAUAUUGGAACAACGGGUGGCUUUGGAAUUACUACUGGAGGCUUAUAUAUUGGAACAGGUGGUAGAACUGGGUGCUCAAUCUUUGGUGGACAUGGUUUCUUGAUCGGGACUGGUGGUGGAAGUGCCUUUGGAACCGGUGGAGGUUUGUAUACUGGAACAGGUGGUAAAACUGGAUGUUCAACCUUUGGUGGUGGACAUGGUUUCUUGACCGGAACCGGUGGUGGUUGUGGCUUUGGAACUGGAGGAGGUUUGUAUACUGGAGCAGGUGGUAGAACUGGAUGUUCAACCUUUGGUGGUGGACAUGGUUUCUUGACUGGAACAGGAGGAGGAAGAGGUUUAUGAUAUACAGGCGUAGGUGGAGGGAGAGGUUUAUGAUAAACAGGCACAGGUGGAGGAAGAGGUUUCUCAUACACAGGUGUAGGUGGAGGGAGAGGUUUAUGGUAAACAGGCACAGGCGGAGGAAGAGGUUUCUCGUAGACAGGUGUAGGUGGAGGAAGAGGUUUCUCAUAAACAGGUGUAGGAGGAGGGAUAGGUUUUUCAUAGAUAGGCACAGGUGGAGGACAAGGUUUCUUGUAGAUAGGAAUAUGAGGAAAGGGAGGUUUGUAAAUAGGAAUAUGAGAAAAUGGAGGUUUCUUGUAGAUAGGAACAGGAGGAAAAAGAGGGUGUUUAUGGAAAAUCUUUGGUGGAAAUGUUGGAAAAACUUUAGGGGGAAAUUGAGGUAAAUCAGGAUGAGGAAGCUUAGGAAAAAGAGGAUGUUUGAAGAGAGGCCAAAAGAAUUUGGAGGUACAUGUUGCUGAUGAAAAUUUGAGUUUACCAGCAGCAGCAGUACUUAGGGUGUGUUUGUCAUCAGAUUUUGACUUGAUGACAAUUUUGGUGUUUUGCAGGCCAUCAUGAGCAGGACAAGGUGCAGCUGUUGCACUAUGCAGCUGAGCAUAACAUUCUUCUUUCAAUUCACCUUCAUUUACAAUUUCUUGAGGAAGAGAUACUUUGAAAUUUCCAUUUUUAUCAAGCUCACCUGCCCCU